AAUUUUUGCUAAUAAAAUAACCUCCGAUAAGAAGCAAAAAAGAAAGCAAGCAAGGAAACAAGGUCAAAGGGAUUCACGACACACAAAAGGCGAAGCACCAGCUUGGCAAUUUGCUUGACCGGUUGAAUCUCUGUGGUUUCUGGAAGUGGGAAUGUGUUAAGUGAAUAAAAAUAUGUAAAGCAUAAUUCAAACAAGGACCACAAUGCAUACGUACGUUUUGCCGCCCCUCAAAAAAGGCUUAUGAACAUUCCCAUAAAACGGAAUGUGUGCGCAUCAUAAACGGGUUGUGACGCCUCCUCUUCCCUUCCCUUCUCUUCAUGGUCCUGCGCUGCCGUGAUCCCGUGGUCAGCUUGACCAAGCGUGUGUGUGUGCGGCCUUGUUUAACCAGCGAUUAUGGAAAUUGUGAUACCGGGGGGAUGCCCCAAAGAUUUGUACUACCAGAUAGACCAAAUGACACGUAGCCCGGAGCUGGAGCUGGAGCUGGUCCGAAACCCGCAUAAAGUGGGCGACACCAUCUAAAAAAUAUUUGUUCACACAUGUGGGCUGAAUGGAUGGAUGGAUGAAGAAUGCCAGUGCCACAUGGCCCUGACUUUUAUGUUGACUAACCACCGGACGAUGGUCGCUGCAGUCACGUGUGCUGUCUUUUAUUUGUAGCUUUUUUUUUUGUUUCUUUUGCUUUCUGCCACUUGCCACACAUAAAUUGCAUUUGCUGAGGGGCACGCGGGGUGGCAGGGAUGAAAGGGAAUCUUUUGGUCAGUGCGAGACAACGCUUUGUGUUAUUUUAAGUAAAUCAGGUUCCGAGAUAUCAACGUCAAAUUGGCAGACAAGUCGAAACUUCAGCGAAUGAACAUAAAAAUAAUCAUAAACGUUUAUCACAUCGAAC